rnacentral:lncRNA from 1 species
UGUUGAGUUGGGUCCUUCUGUGUCUGGAUGAGUUCGGUUUUGAUGUAUAUAAACCUAAAAAUAUCUAAAUAACAAAUGUAUCUGAAACGGGUUCGGAUAUUUGUACCAAAAAUAAUCAUAUUAACCGAUUCAGUCCAUGUCUUUUGAAUACAAUUAGUUAUAUUAUGAUCCAUCUAAAAUAUAUAACAUUAAUUAUGAAAAACAAAUAUUAAUAUAUAAAAAUAUAAGAACCAGUAUCCGUGUGGAUGCGCGGAUUAAUCUCUAGUACUAGUUUAUAAACGAAUCUAAAGAGUUUUUGUUUGAAACUUUUGAAUUUACAUUUGAGAUAUUUUUGUUUUGGUUUUACAGUUAGAGAGAAACUAAAAUUAUAUGGUCAUGAAAUGGAUCUCG